rnacentral:rRNA from 1 species
AUUAGAUACCCGUCUAUUCAUGACAUAAAAUAAUGGUUGGGUAUUACGAACAACAGUUUCAAACUCAAAGAUUUUGGCGGUGUCUUAUAAAACCAGGGGAACCUGUCUCAUAACUCGAUAAUCCACGAAUACCAAACCUUCUCUAGACACCCAGCUUGUGUACUGCCGUUGUAGGCAUACCUUUAAAAGAAUAAGUAUGCAGCUAUGACUAAACAAAUUAACUCAAGUACAUCAGGUCAAAGUGCAGCUAAUAAGAAGGUGAUGAUGGGUUACAACCCUUAAAAGGACAUCUACUAAGAAAUAAAAAAUCUUAAAAAAGUGGACUUGGUUGUAAUCAACUAAUAAAAUAAGAAAAUGAAUAAAACCUAAGACAUGUACACAUCGCCCGUCACUCUAUCCCAAAGGAUAGAUAAGUCGUAAC